rnacentral:lncRNA from 1 species
AGUCGUUCGUGCAUGAUGCAAUUUGGGCUGUCCGUGCGCACGGGAACGGAUCUCAGCCGUUCGAUCGCACGCACGAGGAUCACCCACGUGGCUCCCUCCUGCGUGGCCUCCCGCGUCAGUGUCUUUGCCAUCUAGCACGUCCUGGUUGGUCGGGGCUGCUGACCGGGCAGCUGACGUGGCACAACUUUUCUAAAUUGUAUUUUGACCCCUCGAUUUUCGAUUUUUCUUUCAAAAAUACCCU